rnacentral:rRNA from 1 species
GUGGGGAAUAUUGGACAAUGGGCGAAAGCCUGAUCCAGCAAUGCCGCGUGAGUGAUGAAGGCCUUAUGGUUGUAAAGCUCUUUUACCAGGGAUGAUAAUGACAGUACCUGGAGAAUAAGCUCCGGCUAACUCCGUGCCAGCAGCCGCGGUAAUACGGAGGGAGCUAGCGUUGUUCGGAAUUACUGGGCGUAAAGCGCACGUAGGCGGUUACUCAAGUCAGAGGUGAAAGCCCGGGGCUCAACCCCGGAACUGCCUUUGAAACUAGGUAACUAGAAUCUUGGAGAGGUCAGUGGAAUUCCGAGUGUAGAGGUGAAAUUCGUAGAUAUUCGGAAGAACACCAGUGGCGAAGGCGACUGACUGGACAAGUAUUGACGCUGAGGUGCGAAAGCGUGGGGAGCAAACAGGAUUAGAUACCCGUGUAGUCC